rnacentral:rRNA from 1 species
UGGAGAGUUUGAUCCUGGCUCAGGACGAACGCUGGCGGCGUGCCUAAUACAUGCAAGUCGAGCGAGGGUYUUCGGACCCUAGCGGCGGACGGGUGAGUAACACGUAGGCAACCUGCCUGUAAGACUGGGAUAACAUAGGGAAACUUAUGCUAAUACCGGAUAGAGUUUUGCUUCGCAUGAAGCGAAACGGAAAGAUGGCGCAAGCUAUCACUUGCAGAUGGGCCUGCGGCGCAUUAGCUAGUUGGUGAGGUAAAGGCUCACCAAGGCGACGAUGCGUAGCCGACCUGAGAGGGUGACCGGCCACACUGGGACUGAGACACGGCCCAGACUCCU